GAUGAACGCUGGCGGCGUGCCUAAUACAUGCAAGUCGAGCGAACAGACGAGGAGCUUGCUCCUCUGACGUUAGCGGCGGACGGGUGAGUAACACGUGGAUAACCUACCUAUAAGACUGGGAUAACUUCGGGAAACCGGAGCUAAUACCGGAUAAUAUAUUGAACCGCAUGGUUCAAUAGUGAAAGACGGUUUUGCUGUCACUUAUAGAUGGAUCCGCGCCGCAUUAGCUAGUUGGUAAGGUAACGGCUUACCAAGGCAACGAUGCGUAGCCGACCUGAGAGGGUGAUCGGCCACACUGGAACUGAGAAACGGUCCAGACUCCUACGGGAGGCAGCAGUAGGGAAUCUUCCGCAAUGGGCGAAAGCCUGACGUAGCAACGCCGCGUGAGUGAUGAAGGUGUUCGGAUGGUAAAACUCUGUAAUUAGGGAGGAACAAAAGUGUAUGUAACUAUGCACGUCUUGACGGUACCUAAUGAGAAAGCCACGGCUAACUACGUG
rnacentral:rRNA from 1 species